GACGAACGCUGGCGGCGUGCUUAACACAUGCAAGUCGAACGGAAAGGCCCUGCUUUUGUUGGGUGCUCGAGUGGCGAACGGGUGAGUAACACGUGAGUAACCUGCCCUUGACUUUGGGAUAACUUCAGGAAACUGGGGCUACUACCGGAUAGGAGCUCCUGCUGCAUGGUGGGGGUUGGAACGUUUCGGCGGUUGGGGAUGGACUCGCGGCUUAUCAGCUUGUUGGUGGGGUAGUGGCUUACCAAGGCUUUGACGGGUAGCCGGCCUGAGAGGGUGACCGGCCACAUGGGGACUGAGAUACGGCCCAGACGGCAACGGGAGGCAGCAGUGGGGAAUAUUGCACAAUGGGCGGAAGCCUGAUGCAGCAACGCCGGGUGCGGGAUGAAGGCCUUCGGGUUGUAAACCGAUUUCGCCUGUGACGAAGCGUGAGUGACGGUAAUGGGUAAAGAAGCACCGGCUAACUACGUG
rnacentral:rRNA from 1 species